GACGAACGCUGGCGGCGUGCUUAACACAUGCAAGUCGAGCGGUAAGGCCCUUCGGGGUACGACGAGCGGCGAACGGGUGAGUAACACGUGGGUGACCUGCCCUCAGCUCUGGGAUAAGCCUGGAAACCGGGUCUAAUACCGGAUAUGACUCCAUGACGCAUGUUGUGGGGUGGAAAGCCUUGUGCGGCUGAGGAUGGGCCCGCGGCCUAUCAGC
rnacentral:rRNA from 1 species